rnacentral:rRNA from 1 species
UGGGGAAUUUUGGACAAUGGGCGCAAGCCUGAUCCAGCAAUGCCGCGUGUGUGAAGAAGGUCUUCGGAUUGUAAAGCACUUUAAGUUGGGAGGAAGGGCAGUUACCUAAUACGUUGGUGUCUUGACGUUACCGACAGAAUAAGCACCUGCUAACUCUGUGCCAGCAGCCGCGGUAAUACAGAGGGUGCAAGCGUUAAUCGGAAUUACUGGGCGUAAAGCGCACGUAGGUGGUUCGUUAAGUUGGAUGUGAAAUCCCCGGGCUCAACCUGGGAACUGCAUUCAAAACUGACGAGCUAGAGUAUGGUAGAGGGUGGUGGAAUUUCCUGUGUAGCGGUGAAAUGCGUAGAUAUAGGAAGGAACACCAGUGGCGAAGGCGACCACCUGGACUGAUACUGACACUGAGGUGCGAAAGCGUGGGGAGCAAACA